AACCUAAACCACAUGAAAAUAAGUAUUAACACAUCCUGAUCAAUACUCUGAUCAGCUGAUUGAUCCAUUGAUAAACAGCAUGAUCAGAGUGAUCCAAGUCCCUGCUGGAGUCAGUCAGAGCAUUUCCAUAGAGAGCCACUUUGCAUCAGCAGCACCAUGCUCCAGUGCUCUGGGAGAGUUUAUAGUCCUGAGAGUUGAAGACUGGAUGACUGACAGCUGUCCUUCAUGACAACAGAAGACACAGAAAUCCUCCUCAUCAGAAACAUGACUUUGGUCUCCGUCCUCAUCUGGACUCUCCUCUGCUGCUGCUUCACAGAGUCCAGAGGACAGGUCACAGUGACUCAGUCUGGAGCAGUGAGCUCUGCUCUGGGAGGCUCCGUCACCAUCAGCUGUAGGACCAGUCAGGGUGUUGAAGUUUAUAGCAACACACAUUGUUUACACUGGUACCAACAGAGAGAUGGAGAAAAACCUAAACUGCUUAUUUACGCUGCUUCCACUCGAGAAUCAGGGAUUCCAGGUCGUUUUACAGGAAGUGGAUCAAACUCUGACUUCACUCUGACCAUCAGUGGAGUCCAGACUGAAGAUGCAGCAGUUUACUACUGUCAGAGUUUUCACUAUAUCAACAGUCAGCUUGUGUUCACACAGUGA